AAUCAUCAAAGUAUAUUAUAUUGACGAGUGAUAACAUCCUCGUCCUCAUCUCUAAGUUUAUAUUAUACUUCCUCGUCUAUUUAUUUUGUUAGCUUCAACUACUUUCUGGUCUAUAAUUUCUACAUACCAGCUGCUGAAAUGAAGGUAUAAUUUCCUUCUCCUUAUUUUUCAAGACUUUAAACACUGUGAAAUAAUAUUUUCGCAGUUAUAUUAACAACAAUCGUUUAACAAUAUUUGGGCCUUUUUUUUUAAACUUGCAGAAACUGGUUUUUAAGUUAGAGAUACAUGAUGAUAGAGACAAAACAAAAGCAUUGAAAGUAGUAUCAGCUUUCCCAGGUACUAAUUUGACUGAUAAAUUUUUUCUUCCUCCUUUCCAUUUUUUAAAAAAUAAAUAAAAAUCAGACGGAUUUGAGUCAUCAAUUUCUUUAUUUGUUUUGUUUUAUUUUGUUUAACAUAUUUGAGAAAUUAACGGGUCAGGACGAACUCAUAUAUGUAGGCUGGGCCGGUCUCGUGGCCCUGGGCCAAACGGGCCAUACAUAACUAAUGUAUAAUAUAGGAAUUUUUUACUAUCUAUACCAUAUACCAAACCUUAUUACCAAAAUGUUCAUAAUUUGACAAGAGGGAUUGCUGUGAUGGUAAGUAACCCCCGCUUCCAACCGAGAGGUUGUGAGUUCGAGUCUCCCCAAGAGCAAAGUGGGAAGUUCUUGGAGGGAAGGAUGCCGGGGGUUUAUUUGGAAACAGCCUCUCUACCCCAGGGUAGGGGUAAGGUCUGAAUACACUCUACCCUCCCCAGACCCCACUAAAUGGGAUUAUACUGGGUUGUUGUUGUUGUUGUUCAUAAUUUGGUAUUUACCCGCCUAGUCCAUAGUUUGUCCUGGUUCAGGCACAUGAGGAAGCGACCUAACAUCUUUUCAAUCGAAAUCCCAAUCAAAGACAAGUUCUACCAAGGCCAGGAUCUGAAACAAAUAGAUGGAUCUGGGAUUGAUUGUGGAAUCGAGCAUAGAGAACCCGGGGCGGGCAGGAAGAUAGGCUAGGCGGAGUAGUCGUAUUCAUUCCUAAAUCCCUUUCACCCUUAACUAGCUAACUCGAUGGGAUGUCAACAGCGGGAAUGCCAAACGCAAGACCUACAAAAUCUGUACCAAACCAAAAAUAGAUAGAUUCUACCAUAAGAAGGCGCCAAAUUUGUAGGAAUCGGAUUUAACCAUUAAUUUUGAAAUUUAAAACGGAAGCAAAUCCAUUGCAGCGUAAUUCUCUCCUUCUCCAUAUAUUUUUCACCAUUGAUAGCCAUUAAAAAGCUUGAAAGCUUUGAGAAGGCGCCAAAUUUGUAGGAAUCGGAUUUAACCAUUAAUUUUGAAAUUUAAAACGGAAGCAAAUCCAUUGCAGCGUAAUUCUCUCCUUCUCCAUAUAUUUUUCACUAUUUAUAGCCAUUAAAAAGCUUGAAAGCUUUGAAUUCAAAUUUGAAUAUUCAAAAAUCAUUAUUUGUUUGGAUUGGGUGUUGUUGUAAAUAAUUCAGAAUAUGUUUAGGAGNNN
rnacentral:lncRNA from 1 species